ACGGGGCGCAGCAGGCGCGAAACCUUUACACUGCACGCAAGUGCGAUAAGGGGACCCCAAGUGCGAGGGCAUAUAGUCCUCGCUUUUCUCGACCGUAAGGCGGUCGAGGAAUAAGAGCUGGGCAAGACCGGUGCCAGCAGCCGCGGUAAUACCGGCAGCUCAAGUGAUGACCGGUAUUAUUGGGCCUAAAGCGUCCGUAGCCGGCCACGAAGGUUCAUCGGGAAAUCCGCCAGCUCAACUGGCGGGCGUCCGGUGAAAACCACGUGGCUUGGGACCGGAAGGCUCGAGGGGUACGUCCGGGGUAGGAGUGAAAUCCCGUAAUCCUGGACGGACCACCGAUGGCGAAAGCACCUCGAGAAGACGGAUCCGACGGUGAGGGACGAAAGCUAGGGUCUCGAACCGGAUUAGAUACCCGGGUAGUCCUAGCUGUAAACGAUGCUCGCUAGGUGUGACACAGGCUACGAGCCUGUGUUGUGCCGUAGGGAAGCCGAGAAGCGAGCCGCCUGGGAAGUACGUCCGCAAGGAUGAAACUUAAAGGAAUUGGCGGG
rnacentral:rRNA from 1 species